CUUCUCUUAUCAUGGCCACAACUCCCUCAAAUUUCACCAUCACAUUCACCCAAACUCAUUCCCCGCAAAACCAAAACAUUUCUUGAUCUCACCUUCCCUCAUUCUUCAAAAAAAUAUCUCCGCACCCAAAGCUCAUAAUCUCUCUCCAUUCACCAUGGCAACUUCUACUUCUUCUUUGCUCCAAUCCAACACUUUGAACUUGAAACACUAUUUCGCCCUUCAUUUGCCUCUUCCUUCUCCUCCUCGCCUAUCUAAUUUCACUGGAACUUUGGCUUUCAACGGUCAACGUUCGGCAAAGUUCACUGUUAAAUGCUUCUUCUCGUCGGAGCAGAGGAAACAUUUGACGAGCUCGAGUUUGGGCUCCAACAACCAGUUGAGUUCCAGCUCAAAUGACAAAAACCCAUUCGAGAUUAUUUCUCAAACAAUGUUAAAAGCUUUGAACGCGUUAAAAAAGCCCGCUAUAGCCGCGGUUUUAUUGGGUUUGUUGCUAAUGUAUGAUCCUAAUAACGUAGCAUUGGCUGCAUCAGGUGGGAGGAUGGGAGGAAGGUCUUUUUCUUCGAGUUCUUCAUCUUCGAGGAGUUAUUCGGUGCCUAGAAAUGGAGGGUCGAGGUUUUCUUCGUAUUCGGCUCCUUAUUAUGCGCCUGCUCCAUUCGGAGGUGGUGGGUUUUACAUGGGGCCUGCAGUUGGGGUAGGUGUUGGUGCCGGCUCGAGUUUUUUCUUGAUUUUGGUUGGGUUUGCUGCCUUUGUUUUGGUCUCCGGGUUCCUUUCGGAUCGGUCUGAGAGUAGUGUGCUCACUACUAGCGAAAGGACUAGUGUUAUUAAGCUUCAGGUUGGGUUGUUGGGUAUGGGACGGUCUCUUCAAAGGGAUCUUAAUCGGAUUGCUGAAGUUGCUGAUACCUCUACCUCUGAGGGUCUGAGCUUUGUGUUGACAGAGACAACUCUAGCUUUGCUUCGCCAUCCUGAUUAUUGCAUCUCUGGUUAUUCAUCUGCAGCGAAUUCGGGGAAGGUGAUUGGCAGUGCUGAAAUGUGUGGUGGUCUCUACUUGCUCAAGGGGAACUCUCUUCUAAAUGAACAAGUUCAUUCAAGCUGUGUUUCUAACUCUUUCUCUAAUUCUGUUUCUGUUUCUGUUUCAAAUGAAAAUCAAGUCAUAUUAUGGCACUUUCAUUACCUUGAAAAAUUGCUUCCUCAUUUGUUCAUCAAUAAAAAUUCAAAGGUUUUCAUUGUGAAAUAUGUCAACUUGCUAAACACACACAACAUGUUUAUCUUACCAUCCAAUAUAAGCCUUUACAUCCCUUCUCUAUAAUUCAUAGUGACAUUUGGGGACCCUCACGAGUGAAAAAUAUUAAUGGGGCUCACUGGUUCAUAUCUUUUAUAGACGAUCAUACUAGAACCACUUGAGUAUUCCUUAUGAAAGAAAAAUCUAAAACUUUAAGUCUUUAAGUCUUUUUAUUCCAUGAUUCACACCCAAUUCAAAAGCAAAAUUCAGAUUCUUAAGACCGAUAAUGGCAAGGAGUAUUUUACAUCAGCCUUGGGUUCCUAUUUCAUAAAAUAAGGAAUUAUUCAUGUGAGUUCUUGUGUUGGCACCCCUCAACAAAAUGGCAUAGCCGAGAGAAAAAAUAGACACUUGAGGUAACUAGAUCAUAUUACUAAUCAUGUACCUAAACACUUCUGGGGUGAAGCCAUCCUUACUGCCACCUAUCUCAUCAAUAGAAUGCCUAGUCGAGUGCUAAAAUUUCAGAGACCUCGUAAAGUCCUCCUACAAGCCUUUCCUCAUGCUAAAUCUUUUUCUUCUGAUCUUCCACUUUAGAGUCUUUGGUUGUUUAACAUUUGUUCACAUACACCAACAGCAUCGAACCAAACUUGAUCCCAAAUCAGUCAAAUGCAUUUUCCUAGGAUAUUCUUCUAGUCAAAAAGGGUACAAGUGUUAUUCACAUGUUACUUGAAAGAUGUACAAUUCCAUGGAUGUUACCUUUUUUGAACACCAAUCCUAUUUUUCCAAAUCCGAAAUUCAGGGGGAGAACUCGAGGGAAUUUCAGCUUUAGGACAUUCUUCAAAACACUCAAUCCGUGUAUGUUCUACCCCAAAGUGUCAAUCUGGCAUCCUUACCCCGUUCCGAGUCCUCAAAAUCCAAAUCUCCAUUCCACAUCAGGUCCAAACGACACACCGUCUGAGUCUCAGUUCCAUGAGUCCACUAAUCCUCAACUUGGUGCAAAUCAUCAAAAACUUCGUGUCUAUUCUAGAAGGAGAUGACCUACUGGAAAUUAGAAUGACACUCAAAUCAGAGAUUGUCAAGAACUUGAACCGGAGUCUCCUGCUUCAGAAUUUCAGACUGGUAGAUGUGAAACAGAGCAUAGACGAUGGGGAGAAACGCUUCAAUCAGCUCUCUAUUGAAGAACGGGGUAAAUUUGAUGAAGAGACUCUAGUGAAUG